rnacentral:rRNA from 1 species
GACGAACGCUGGCGGCGUGCUUAGCACAUGCAAGUCGAACGGAAAGGCCCUGCUUUUGUGGGGUGCUCGAGUGGCGAACGGGUGAGUAACACGUGAGUAACCUGCCCUUGACUUUGGGAUAACUUCAGGAAACUGGGGCUAAUACCGGAUAGGAGCUCCUGCUGCAUGGUGGGGGUUGGAAAGUUUCGGCGGUUGGGGAUGGACUCGCGGCUUAUCAGCUUGUUGGUGGGGUAGUGGCUUACCAAGGCUUUGACGGGUAGCCGGCCUGAGAGGGUGACCGGCCACAUUGGGACUGAGAUACGGCCCAGACUCCUACGGGAGGCAGCAGUGGGGAAUAUUGCACAAUGGGCGGAAGCCUGAUGCAGCAACGCCGCGUGCGGGAGGACGGCCUUCGGGUUGUAAACCGCUUUCGCCUGUGACGAAGCGUGAGUGACGGUAAUGGGUAAAGAAGCACCGGCUAACUACGU